rnacentral:rRNA from 1 species
AUUGAACGCUGGCGGAAUGCUUUACACAUGCAAGUCGAACGGCAGCACGGGGCGACCUGGUGGCGAGUGGCGAACGGGUGAGUAAUACAUCGGAACGUGCCCAAUCGUGGGGGAUAACGUAGCGAAAGUUACGCUAAUACCGCAUACGAUCUACGGAUGAAAGCGGGGGAUCGCAAGACCGCGUGCGAAUGGAGCGGCCGAUGUCAGAUUAGGUAGUUGGUGGGGUAAAGGCUCACCAAGCCGACGAUCUGUAGCUGGUCUGAGAGGACGACCAGCCACACUGGGACUGAGACACGGCCCAGACUCCUACGGGAGGCAGCAGUGGGGAAUUUUGGACAAUGGGCGCAAGCCUGAUCCAGCCAUUCCGCGUGCAGGAUGAAGGCCUUCGGGUUGUAAACUGCUUUUGUACGGAGCGAAAAGGCUCUCUCUAAUACAGGGGGCUCAUGACGGUACCGUAAGAAUAAGCACCGGCUAACUACGUGCCAGCCGCCGCAGUAACAC